rnacentral:rRNA from 1 species
UACGUAGGGGGCAAGCGUUGUUCGGAAUGACUGGGCGUAAAGGGUGCGUAGGCGGUGUAGCAAGUUGGAAGUGAAAUACCUAGAGCUUAACUCAGGUGCUGCUUCUAAAACUGCUAUACUUGAGUGCAGUAGAGGAAAGUGGAAUUCCUAGUGUAGCGGUGGAAUGCGUAGAUAUUAGGAGGAACAUCAGUGGCGAAGGCGACUUUCUGGACUGUAACUGACGCUGAGGCACGAAAGUGUGGGGAGCAAACAGG